rnacentral:rRNA from 1 species
AUACGUAGGUGGCGAGCGUUGUCCGGAUUUACUGGGUGUAAAGGGCGCGUAGGCGGGGAAGCAAGUCAGAUGUGAAAUCCAUGGGCUUAACCCAUGAACUGCAUUUGAAACUGUUUCUCUUGAGUGUCGGAGAGGUAGAUGGAAUUCCUAUGGUAGCGGUGAAAGGCGUAGAUAUUAGGAGGAACACCGGUGGCGAAGGCGGCUUACUGGACUGUAACUGACGUUGAGGCUCGAAAGCGUGGGGAGCAAACAGGAUUAGAUACCCUGGUAGUCCACGCUGUAAACGAUGAAUACUAGGUGUGGGGGGACUGACCCCCUCCGUGCCGCAGUUAGCACAAUAAGUAUUCCACCUGGGGAGUACGAUCGCAAGAUUGAAACUCAAAUGAAUUGGCGGGG